AUAAAAUGAUGGUGAGAAAGUGGUGGAAGAAAAAUAAAAAAGUUAAAUAAAAUGAAAAUGAGAAAGAGAGAAGAAUAAAAUGAGGUAGAGUACCAUUGAGGUCCAAGUGUGUAAGUAGCAUGAGAAUAAAAAACAUAUAGAAGACAAAGAAAAAAAAAUACAUAUAUAUGUGGUAUAGAAUAAAAAUAAAAAUCAACGAGAAUGAGAAGAGCGAAAAUACUGUAGUGAGUUGGCAGGCAGAUCAGGGGAAUGUUACGUUCGUUCGUGCGCUGGCUUUAAAGUAAAUGAAUUUUAAAUAAAAUGAAUGAAAAAAAAAAAAAAAAGAAAGAAUGUACAGUUAGAGGUUUUACGUUUAUAAGAAAAAUAACUCUUAAAUAGUCUAUGUGUGUUUUAAUUUAUUCAAAACCUUGACAAAUAUGUAUCAAGUUUGACAAUGCGAAGAGUAAAUUUUUUCAAGUCUUGAAUGUUUAAAUUCACGUACGUUUUGUUUUAUGAAAAAGAUGAGAAUUGAAGAGGAGUGAAGUGCAGAUGCCUUGAGGCGAUCAACACGAAAAAAAAAGUUCCUUUGCACUCGUUAGGUUGACGUCAAAACGUCGUGUCUUAUAAGACUGUAUGUAUGAAGUAUAUGUAGUUGUACUUGUUGGUGAUACGGUUGACAAGGAAUGAAAAAUAACGUAGGGAUGAAAUAAUUCACAAUGAAAAUGAUAGAAAAGGAGUUUAAAUAAAAAGAUAAAGAUGAUGUGCAUACAAUUGGUAAAGGGGACCGCCGCGCGACCGAUGAAGCCUCUAUGACAACUGUCGUCGUGUGUUGCUUUGCUUAUUAUUUAUUUGUAUUGGAUGUUUUCUCCCUACUAUAGUAUGCUCAAUACCUACAAUAUAAUGCUCUACUCUUCAUCAUGUCCCGGGAGAAUCGGUGGUGAAUUUUUCUGGCAGUUGGUCAGGGAAUUACUUUCAGUGAACUGUUCAUAAAGUCCCACAUACAUGCAUCCUAUUUUCCUGUCGGAUGUUACUAAAUAUGAAUUUAACCGAUUUAUAUACAUAUAUACACAACAUCUAUUAAGAUUAAACGAUUCAUAAAAUUCACAUAUGCAUUUAUACAUAUAUAUGUAUAUUUUAUUUGUACACACAAAAAAAGGAAUUCUUGGGUCAAGAAGAAAAUCGUUUCCAAAAAUAAAUUCUUAAAUUAAAAUAUCCUCUUUUCUUGUUUGAAAAAAUUUUCUCUUGUUUCUCCGAACAAGAAAACAACUUGGUUGGCUCAAGAAAAUUUAGCUCUUGGUUUUAGAAGAUACCAACUCAUUCUAAAAACAUCGUUCUCUCGAAUGUAGUCGAUAUCGAUUCAUUUCGAUACAUCGAGUUUUUAAACGGAGGCACAUUUAACUUACUCCAAGUAAAAAUUAAUUUAUUUAAAGAUUUGAUAACAUUUAGUUCAAAAUAAAUGUAGACUUCAUCUUAGAACGAUUAAUUUUAGAUUUAAAAAAUAAAAAACUCAUUUUAAAACUAAAUUAUACAUCAAUGUAAAUAAAAAAUACUUUUAUUUUAAAAUAUAAUAAAUAAGUUCAAUUUCAAAUUAAUUGUUUUUAUUAAAAAUUCAAUUCUCAGAAUAUAUACAAUUAAUUAUCAAAAUAAAUUUUGAUUCUUUAUUACAAUAAGAAAUUUUUUUUGUUUAUGAAAAUAAAUUAAAGGUUAUGUUAUUUAUCCUGGCUUCAUUGACACUAUGAACUGCAUGAUACCACACUAAAAAGGAAACAAUUUUAUAUGAACUUAGGAUUAGAAAUGAAAACAAACUUGAUUAUCUGAUAUAUGAUUAAAAACAGCAUAAAUAAAAAUUAACUUACUUUUUUCGCGAUUGAAACGACACCCUUUAACUUAACUUAAAUCAGGAAAUAACACCAGAUAUAAUGACUAAUAACUACAAUAACUCACAUUUUUACCGAACACUUCAAUUCAAAACAAUUUAUGUAUAUGAAUUAGUUAAUUGUAUAAUUAAUAAACUAAUACUAUUAGAAUAUUGGUGUGUAAUAUAUAAUUGCACAUAUACGGCGCCAGCGCUGAACAGACUCGUUUCAUUUUUUUGGGAUCUUCGGGCGUCUACGUGUAUACACAAAGUAGUGUCCGAAGUAGAGAAGCUGCAUAGACCCGAGUGCUCCUGUUAUCCGAAUGCUGCUAUGGAAAAAAACCAAGAGCUUGAUUUUCUUGACUUGAAUUUUUUUUAUUUUUGUUUCAAGCAAUAGCCACUAGUUGGUUUAAGAAAUCUGACUCCUUAC